rnacentral:misc_RNA from 1 species
AUUAAACAAGAUUAUAACGGAUGAGGUUAUGGAGGUGAAAGAUUACAAAUAUUUUCACAUGAAUGUUAUAUGCUUUGAACAUCUUUACAACACAACGGUGAAAAAAUAAAUGAAACGUUGUGUUGCACUGAUGAUCAAUGUUUUUUCAACGAUGAACAUGUCGCUAACACUCCUUUGUUUUAACAUCUCAUGCAAUGAAGAAGAAUGACGGAAGUAAAAGACAAUGAGGCAAUGUGAACUAUAAGAGAUCCUAGUUAAUGGCAUGAUAUUGAGGUACUGGAAUUCUUA